rnacentral:rRNA from 1 species
GCGUUGUCCGGAUUCACUGGGCGUAAAGCGCGCGCAGACGGCUUUCUGCGUCUGGGGUGAAAACCCGGGGCUCAACCCCGGGAGUGCCUUGGAUACGGGAGAGCUUGAGGGUCGGAGAGGCAAGGGGAAUUCCACGUGUAGCGGUGAAAUGCGUAGAGAUGUGGAAGAACACCUGUGGCGAAAGCGCCUUGCUGGCCGAUCCCUGACGUUGAGGCGCGAAAGCGUG